AUCAGACCUAUGUGGACAGCUGCAAGAACAAAGGAUUCCAGGACCAAGUUUGCAACAACCAGCCACAUUCCCUCCCCUUUUAGUACAAAAGAAGUGUGUAUUCUAAGUUGAGUAAGAUAGUUCUUUGGGACACUAAUCCACCAUCUUCUUAGUCUGCUGGCUUUCCAAAAAAAAGCCCCUAUUCCUUAUCCCAGCAACUCAUCUCUGGAUUUAUUGGUCUAUUCAUGUGGCAAGCAGCACAAGCCUGGACUUGGUAAUAAUAACUAUUUACUUCUCACAUUUCUCAGCCUAGAUACCUAUAUUUUAAAAAUCACUUAACAUUGGGAAUGAGUGCUGUGAGGAAAAAAAAAAAAAAAAAAAAAAAACAAAAAAAAACCCUGGAAUUCAAGGUGGGGGAAGAACUGCAUGUGUAUACUGGUCAUACCUACCCACUCACUGCCCCAGCGUCAUUGGGCAAGUCAUGAAGCUCAUUUCUUCAUCUGUGAGAACAAAAUACAUCAGGUUCUCCAGGUAAAGGAGAUCCUCCCUGUGGAGAAUGUGAAAGAACUAGACAUUGUCAGUUAUUAUUAUAUUUACCAUUCUCUCAUGUAAAGACCGUGUGGGCUGAGAGUAGCAGGACCUGGUAGGCAGAGUUUGAGUAAGCACGUAUCUGUUUAAACUUGUUUCCGUAAUUUACUACAGUCAUUAUUCCCUACCAAUAAGAGCAUAUUCUCAAAGUUCUAUGAACAGUAGCAAAUUAAAGGGAAAUUUCCUGGGAAUAAGCCCAUCUCACUGUUUUUUUUUUUUAUUAAAUAAAUAAAUGUAUAUUAUCUAUGAUAUAUGUAUUUAUAUAACAUAUAUAUGCUUAUAAAACAUUUUUGUUUUAUAUUUGUAUACAAACAAAAGACUCUAAAAACAAAAUUAGAAAGUGAUCUCAAGCCAGGAGAAAAAUUGCAACAUAUGUGAUAAAUAGGGUUAAUAAUCCUUAAAAUAGAGGGAACUUUUUUAAGUCAAUAGGGAAAAGUAAAUAUCCUGGGACAUGUAGGAAUAUAUCUGAAUACAUAAUUUCAAUAAAAGGUUAAUAUGCCAUAUGAGAACUUUCUAUUCCUAUUGGUUUUCAAAGAAAAAAAAAUUUUAAAAACAAGAUGCCCUGUUUUUUCUAUUGGCAAAGAUUUUAUAAACUUUUUUUUAAAACCCAUAUGUUUCUAGGAGAAGGGAGAAAUGGGCCUUCUCAUGCUCUGCUGGUAGUUAGAUUCACUGUUCCAGCUGUAAUCUGAAUAAUAAACCAUGAAAAUGUGCAGAAGAUCAAAAGGUAUUGAAAAUGAAACUCUUGUUCUCAUUCCUACUAACUUCUCUAGUUAGAAAUAAAGAUGCACACAAAUUUUUCUGUACCUGAAUAUUCAUUGAGAGUAAUAUUUAGACUAGGGAAGUAUAAAAUCAGUCUAAAGCAGUAACAACACAGGACUGGUUAAAUCAAUUAAGUAGUGAAUAGUAAGACCAAUUAAUUGUCUUAAGUUAUUUCAUGAAUUUAAACAUUGUUUAAUGAAAAACAUAUUUGAGUUACUGUGCACGGCAUAUGCUCACUAAAUGAAUACAUGGAAAGAUACAGUCCAAAAAUGGAAGCAUAAUGUGAUUUUCUUUAAGUUGAAUUAUAAAUAUUCCAAAUUAUAUGCAAUGAAUAUGUGUUACUUUAUAAAUAAAUCUUAAUAAACAAAAGUUGUUUCUUUUAAAAAUUAUUGAAGACCAUAAUCUUAAACUUGGGUAGAAAAUUCAACCCAAAUAUGUUAGAAGGUUAUGUUAUUUUCUCUGACUCUCAUUCUCUCUCUUUUUUUCCCCCUUCUUUUUAUAGGCACACCUGUGGCAUUGGAAGUUUUCAAGCUAGGGCUCGAAUCAGAGUUGCAGCUGAGGCCUACGCCAGUUCCCAACAGCAUCUGUGACUUAUACCACACUUGAGGCAAGGCCAGAUCCUUAACCCUCUGAGCAAGGUCAGGGAUCCAACCUACAUCCUUACAGAGACAACAUUGGGUUUUUAACUCACUGAACCACAAUUGGAACUCUGACUUCCCCCUUCUUUUGAACCCACAUGUCCCCUAAACAGCCAAGGUGAGUUUAUCCUGGUCAUGGAAGGCUAAGUAUUUCCAAUUAAAUGCAGAUGAACUUCUAGCUUAAGAGGUUAUUUUAAGUAAAUAUUAUGUCUAUUCAAAAACAAGAUUAUUUCUCUCCUCUCAAGGAGUCUCCUCUGGCCCUCAUCCUACCCAGACAUUUCAGGAUGUGGAAAAAGGAUUAUAUAUCUGGAAGAAGAGAGUCUGCAGCAGGCCGGACUGCACAUGUGCCAUCUGGCUCCCCUGGUUUCUGGGUAUUGGAUAAUUUUAAAUGUAAGUUUUAUUAUUUUUCAGGUAUAGUGAGGCCAACAGAGUAAGAGAUGAUUUUCACUGAGAAGACAGUUUAUUUCUCAUAGUUCCAAGAAGAAGAUAUGCCAUUCCAUGCAGGGAGCCACACAGGGCAGCACCAGGCUCAGUCAGGAAGCAGAGGGAGCAAGGGAAAUGUGGGCAAGAGGCUGGAAUUUGGUUUCUGCUGGGGGAAGGUGGGGGGAGUUGCUGGCAAGGCAGGUGUGAGGAAAAUGGAGUAACUCAGGCUUUUCUGCCUAGCCACAGUGUAGUUCUGGGGAGGAACAACUGCAGCAACUAUUACAUAGUGAUAGUUACACAUGUGCAUGUGCAGUAGAAUAGCAUGACAUCCGUCAUAUACGUAACAUUUUGGCAAACUGCUGGCUUUAUUCUGCACCAGUAUAAAAGGUGGACAGGACUUUCUGCCCCUCUGGUCACUGCUUGUAAAGCCAACAAAGGGAUGUCUGACCUACUCCCAGCGCCGCAGCUCUUCUUCAGGUUGCCUGACCCAGAUUCAACCUGCUUGGUCUCCAAAGACUGGAGGACAGCAGCAUGAGCAGGCUUAGGACCGGCUAGUUGGAGUAAUUUCAGCAGGCUCUGGGUGUAGGGGCCGUCUCUAGUGGUCUGGUACCUGCCCCUGGGGUGAGAAGGGCAGGGGAACAGUGGCCUAGAGGGUAAGAACUCCAUAAAGGAGGUGGUUGGGGAAUUGGUUUGGGGUAUUGGCUGGUCUGCAGGCUAGUGGAGUCCUUUAGUAUCUCUGGAAAUUGGCGAGUCCUGGGAGAGACAAUCUCUUCAGGGUCUGUGAAGACCCCAGUGUCAAAACAUCAGAAAUGUGUGGUUAAUGCAGCCUCCCUUCCCACGUCCAACCCUAAUGUAACUUCUUCCUCCUGGUCUUCAAUCAGCUUAUAUCCACUAUUAAUGCUCCCUGUGGCCUCUACGCUUGAUUCAGCUACAAGAUCUUAUCUCUCACCAAAUUCUUGUCUGGACUUGCCUCUUUGGGUUCCUAGUUUUCUUGGCAUUUUCACUUCACUGUGCGUAGGCAUGUGGCAUUGGCAGGAUCUUCCCCAAACCCCACUUAUCCGUAGGAAACAGGGGCCCCAACUCAGGCCCUUGCCUGAAUACCCACAUUAUGUUACUUUGCUGUAGUCCAGGGCACACUGGAGGCAGUAUGUUCUCAAAGUCCUAAAGACGAGAUGACACAAGCCCAUCUGCUUUGGCGAUUCCCCUUAGCUGUGUUUCAGGGGAACAGAUAUUUGAUUCUGAUUUUCUUUCUUCUUCUCUUCUUGCCCUUCCUUUCUCUCCUGCUCUCUUUCCCAAUUUAUUUCCUCCUCUGGGAGCACUUUCCUCCUUUUCUUAGGGAAACUUCACAGGACAUCUUCAUUCCUCUUUACUCUAUAGAUUGUAAAAGUGACUCUGUGAGGUAGUAAUCUCAGCCUGGCUGUUAUUAUUGGAGCUGUGAGAAGACCAAGGACCAGGGUUCACUAGUGAUAAAAACACAAUGGUUUCAUUUAUAAAAUAUUACUUCUGCUAUAAUCACCCCCUUCCAAAGGGAUAUCUUCUCUUUUACUUCUUCAAGUUCACCUGGGUAAAUGAUAAGCAAACCCUUACCUUUCUUGAAUAAAAGCUGUUACCCUUUCCUCAGGAUACUGAGCCUCUUCUAGUGUAGCCCCAUCCUAAGACCUUCUGGCCACCUACCUGACCACUGUAAAGGUUAGCCAAAACUCUGAGCAAAGCUUCCCCUAAAAUGGCAUAAAACUUGGACAGGUCUUCAAAAGAAUUUACUAUCAACGACCCUUACUGAAAUGGUUAAUAAAGGAUAUAUGUCAAGAACAAGAAAUAUGAAUCCUGAUGGAAUAAUUGAAAUGUAAGCAACAAUGAAAAGAAGAAAAACAAUUUAAAUAUCUUGGCAAAAACAAUACAUAUGUGUGUCUUUAAAAAUAUAAAACUAAAGAAUAGAUCAGUCAAUAAGUAGUUUUAGUCAAUAAAUAGUUUGAGCAAAUUAGUAAGUGAACUAUUGGCUAUAAUAUGCAAAAUUUUUUAUUAAUUUGGCUUUUGACAUUAAAUUUCAUUACUGUAUUUUUAGCAAUACUGAAGUUACACAUUUUUGUAGAGCAAAUCUGUCUACUUUCUCCUUUAUCAUUCUUUUUUUAAAAAUUUUGACAUCUUGAUUACAAAGUCUCAUUCAUACUUCAAGGUUAUAAAAUAUUUAUGUAAUAUUUAAGAACUUACAUUAUUUCUUCUAUUUACAAAAGUAAGAGACACAUAAACAUUGAUGUGGGACAUAAAAAUAUACUUAGAUAUUAAAACAUUAGAGUAGAAAUCACAAUUUUAAAGAGUUGAGGCUAAAAGGAUAAGAGCUGCUGUCAUAAAAACCUUGAAGCUCCUGAUAAAUACUUCAACUUUGAGAGUUGAUUUCAAGGGUACCAAUUAUUUCUUCUAGUACUGAGAAGGUGCUGUGCUUCCAGAGAGGGAACAAUCCCAGUCUUACUGCUCUGGUAUUUUUAAUUAGAGAUUGAGAACAUCAAACAUAAGACAUUGUGUAUUUUCUUUUUCCCAAUAUUUUAGAUUGCAUUUUUUAAGUGCUACAAAACAGUUUAAAUGUGUAAUGGAAUUAUUGGGUUGGAAAAAGUUCCAAUUUGAUGACAGUUGAUUGAAGCAAAAGGUUAAUUUUAUUAAAGGCUCAUGUAGCUG
rnacentral:lncRNA from 1 species